rnacentral:rRNA from 1 species
CCUACGGGAGGCAGCAGUGGGGAAUAUUGGACAAUGGGCGAAAGCCUGAUCCAGCCAUGUCGCGUGUGUGAAGAAGGCCUUCGGGUUGUAAAGCACUUUCAGUGGGGAAGAAAGCCUUGGGGCUAAUACCCUCGAGGAAGGACAUCACCCACAGAAGAAGCACCGGCUAACUCCGUGCCAGCAGCCGCGGUAAUACGGAGGGUGCGAGCGUUAAUCGGAAUUACUGGGCGUAAAGCGCGCGUAGGCGGUCUGAUAAGCCGGUUGUGAAAGCCCCGGGCUCAACCUGGGAACGGCAUCCGGAACUGUCAGGCUAGAGUGCAGGAGAGGAAGGUAGAAUUCCCGGUGUAGCGGUGAAAUGCGUAGAGAUCGGGAGGAAUACCAGUGGCGAAGGCGGCCUUCUGGACUGACACUGACGCUGAGGUGCGAAAGCGUGGGUAGCAAACAGGAUUAGAUACCCGAGUAGUC